CGCCCAAUUUAAUUACAAAAAAAUUUUGAUUAUUAUAUUUACAUGUUUAUUAUCUAGGGCUAGGGGCCUACUAGAAACCAUCAAAAGGCUUUUGAUUAAGACCCCUAGUUACAUUUUAAAUUACAAAAUAAGGAUCCUAUUUACAAACAAAACUAGGUGACAGUGCUUCAAGUGAGGUGCAAUAUGAUAAAGUAUUUACAUAUAGUGCUACAGUAAAUAAAAUGUUAUGAUCACAAAAGUAUAUUAUUAUUAAUUUAUAUAAAAAUUUGAUAUUGCAGAUGUUGUUUUGGUAGUAGUUUUUCAGUUAUUCAGUAUGUAGUAUUUUUUCGACUUUUUCUUGAAUAUAUAGUAAGAUGCUAUAUUUUUAAAGUUUGGGUCAAGAUUAUUCCAGAUAUCAACUCCCUUGUUAGAGAGUGAAUGUUUAACAUAGUUUGUUCUUUGAUAAGGCUUAUGAAGUUUCAUAGAAUUUCUUGUAUUAUGUCUAUGAACUUCACUAUUUGAAAUAUAGUAGUUCGCAAAAAAUUGAGGUAAGUUUUUUAAGUGAUGAUAUCUGAACAUGAACAAACUGGUAAGAUAAUCGUUUAGUUUGCAUAAGUUCAAUAUAUUUAGGUGCUGAAAUAUGUUUUCAGUAUGAUCUAAGUGAGAGCUAAAAGUCAUUAAACGUACAAUCUUCUUUUGAACAUUUAUAAGUUUUUGAAUUCGUUUUUUA